GUCGAGAAUCUUUCACAAUGGGGGCAACCCUGAUGGAGCGACGCCGCGUGGAGGAUAAGGUCUUCGGAUUGUAAACUCCUGUCAUGCGUGAACAAGGUUGCUUGGUUAAUACCUGGGCAAAUUGAUGGUAACGCAAGAGGAAGAGACGGCUAACUCUGUGCCAGCAGCCGCGGUAAUACAGAGGUCUCAAGCGUUGUUCGGAAUCACUGGGCGUAAAGGGUGCGUAGGUGGCGUGGUAAGUCAGAUGUGAAAGCCCGGGGCUCAACCGCGGAACUGCAUCCGAUACUGCCAUGCUAGAGUACUGGAGAGGUGACUAGAAUUCUCGGUGUAGCAGUGAAAUGCGUAGAUAUCGAGAGGAAUACCAAAGGCGUAGGCAGGUCACUGGACAGUUACUGACACUGAGGCACGAAGGCCAGGGGAGCGAACGGGAUUAGAAACCCUGGUAGUCC
rnacentral:rRNA from 1 species